UGAUACAUUGCUAACCAUUUCAUUCUUGGAAAUACAUCAGGGUCCCCCGUGUUAAUCUCUAUCCGGUCCAUCAUGGGUGAAACUCUAUCUCAAGGGAGAGAGGUCAGAUAUUGUUGGGGAGGACUGGGUGGCCCUGUAACAGUGCUGGAAGAUAUGGUGGGGGCUCUGAAUUGUAUUGUGACAGUGUUGAAUGAUACAACGGAGGAGUAGAAUUAC
rnacentral:lncRNA from 1 species